UACGUAGGUGACAAGCGUUGUCCGGAUUUACUGGGCGUAAAGCGUGCGUAGGUGGUUCGUUAAGUCUGAUGUGAAAGCCCUGGGCUCAACCUGGGAAUGGCAUUGGAAACUGGCGACCUAGAGUGCGGUAGAGGGUAGUGGAAUUCCCGGUGUAGCAGUGAAAUGCGUAGAGAUCGGGAGGAACAUCUGUGGCGAAGGCGACUGCCUGGACCAGCACUGACACUGAGGCACGAAAGCGUGGGGAGCAAACAGG
rnacentral:rRNA from 1 species